AUUGAACGCUGGCGGCAUGCUUUACACAUGCAAGUCGGACGGCAGCACAGAGAAGCUUGCUUCUUGGGUGGCGAGUGGCGAACGGGUGAGUAAUAUAUCGGAACGUACCGAGUAAUGGGGGAUAACUAAUCGAAAGAUUAGCUAAUACCGCAUAUUCUCUGAGGAAGAAAGCAGGGGACCUUCGGGCCUUGCGUUAUUCGAGCGGCCGAUAUCUGAUUAGCUAGUUGGUGGGGUAAAGGCCUACCAAGGCGACGAUCAGUAGCGGGUCUGAGAGGAUGAUCCGCCACACUGGGACUGAGACACGGCCCAGACUCCUACGGGAGGCAGCAGUGGGGAAUUUUGGACAAAGGGCGCAAGCCUGAUCCAGCCAUGCCGCGUGUCUGAAGAAGGCCUUCGGGUUGUAAAGGACUUUUGUCAGGGAAGAAAAGGCUGUUGCUAAUACCGACAGCUGAUGACGGUACCUGAAGAAUAAGCACCGGCUAACUACGUG
rnacentral:rRNA from 1 species